rnacentral:rRNA from 1 species
AUGAAGCACGUACCUCCUCCCGCCUCUCCUCGACGACCCACGUCUCCACCUCCACGACGGGCUGCCUUGAGUGUGAGGCGGCGGCGGCGGCGGCGGCAGGCAUGCCAGAGUUGUCAUCCAGCUUGUGCGCGUCAGGUCCGGGCCCAUGGAGGGCGGGCCGGGGGUGAGGAACACGCACAACAACCUGUCCGUGGGACUGACAUGUUCAUUUCAGCCAAGCUGCCCACAUCUUCCCGUGCAAAUGUACGAAAACUCAAGCCCGCACACCACUCUAUCUCCUUUUGGUGUCACAUCUUUGUGUUUUCUGCCCUUCUUUUAAAGCAUGGCAAAGAAAAAAAACAAUAG